UGCCACUCGCCAUUAAUAGAGAUGACAGAUUGUUUUGGGAGCAAAUGGCUACCAUACAUCUUGAAAUUCUAAGAAAGUGUAUAUUUUUGGCAUGCUGAUCUCUUUCUUUCCAUCUCAAAUCUUGCUUUGUUAUUUAUCAUUUCAUCUACCUGUGGAUAGCGGAAGGAUUUAUGCCACAAUGAAAUGAAAAAUAACAGUGAGAUAUUGGGUUAAAUUAUUUACAUCAGUUUGAAAUGGUUUUGGUGGAAAUAUAUGGAGUUUCAGUUUGGUACACUCUCUAUGGAUUUUAUCAUCUCAUAGUCUUGGUCUCAUUGUAAGAGUACUUUUAGAUUCUUGACUUUGCCAGUUGAUUUUAGCAGCACUAUCAUCUCUACCUUGCCAAAAUGUGUUGCAUAAUUGAAACUUCUCAAAGUCUUGAAUUUAUUGAAGUAGAUCGCAUCUUCUACUUGAGUGGAUAAGUGUAUUCAAAUAUCAUUUAACAUCUGCUUGAAUGGAUAAGCUAUAUUUGAAUGGAUAAGUGAACUUAAAUAUCUUUUCCAUCUUGAUGUAAAAGACUGGAUACAAGAGUUUCUUUAUGAUCAUAUGCCUAAGGAAAUAUCAAAGCUCAAGUUUGAAGACAAAUUAGAUCAGAUUGGUUUUGAUUAUCUGUUGACGAAAUUGAAUAAUCAAAUGUAAAAUAUGUUGGCAAUUUAAUCUUGGACAAUGAGAUCAUAUUUCUUCUCACUACCUAUUGAAGAAAAUGAAUUAAUGUAAAAGAUGUUGAGAGUUUGAUUGAUCUUGAAGACUUCAAUUUUCUCUUAAAAGAAGAACAGCACUUGAAAUGUGUAAAAAAUGGUGUCAUGUGGAUCUGAGAAUUCUGAACAGUCCUGCAACGGAGGGUGAUAUCUGGCAUUCCAAGAGAAAAUAAAUGUUAUGAAAAAUCUUCAACAUCUUUAUCUGAGUUGUUUCUCAGUGCCAAGUUGGAUAUGUGAUUUGAUGGUUCUCACAUAUGCAACAGAGGGUGAUAUCUGGCGUUUUUAUCUGGAUUGUUUCUCAGUGCCAAGUUGGAUAUGUGAUUUGAUGAUUCUCACAUAUGCAACAGAGGGUGAUAUAUGGCGUUCCAAGAGAAAACAAAUAUUAUGAAAAAUCUUCAACAUCUUUAUCUGAGUUGUUUCUAAUGCCAAGUUGGAUAUGUGAUUUGAUGGUUCUCACAUAACUUACAUUGUGUAAGUCAGAGAUUAUUCAUCAGUUUGUUUUUGGAGGUCCAAAAAUAAACAGCCAGCAGGUUGUUUGUUAUUUGAAGUUUUUAAUCCUUCAAAUAACAAACAACGUGCUGGCUGUUUAAGCUUUUGUGUUCAAACGGAUUGCAACGGUUAACAAGAAUUGAGGAGAUAUGUAGAAGCAAACAAGCGAUGAGUUAGAGGAAAGGGUAAAGGAAAGCGAGGAAGAUUUGGAAUAAAAUCAAAGCUGAUGAUGCCCAGGCUGAAAUCUACUUCUGACGCAACUUGUAGCAGCUUUUUAAUCCUUUUAAAUAUGACAUAUAUUUGUCGUUGAGUUAGAGGAAAGGGUAAAGGAAAGCGAGGAAGAUUUGGAAUAAAAUCAAAGCUGAUAAUGCCCAGGCUGAAAUCUACUUCUGACGCAACAUGUAGCAGCUUUUUAAUCCUUUCAAAUAUGACAUAUAUUUGUCGUUGAGUUAGAGGAAAGGGUAAAGGAAAGCGAGGAAGAUUUGCAAUAAAAUCAAAGCUGAUAAUGCCCAGGCUGAAAUCUACUUCAAAUAUGACAUAUAUUUGUCUCUCUACCCUCACAACAUAGCAGCAGCUCCACAAGAAUGGCAUUACAUUAUUUCCCUCUUGCAACUCCAGAGCCAAGGCUACUCUGCAAGAAAGCUAUCCACCUUGUGUACGCCACAGACAAAGUAUCACACUUCUUAUCCAAUCCAUGCUGCUGGGCGAGUCAAACACACUAUACUUCUGGAUUCAGUGCGACAGAUGGACGCCAUAUCCUUCUUCAGUGGUGUUCGCAGGCCUUUUGUCUCUUCCAACAACCUAUCUUACCCCUCUGCUGUAUAUAGCCCAUGCUUUAUUAAAGAAAUGUCAUCAUGUUAUUGCUUUUUACCUCUGACAAGCGCCACUCAUUCCUAUAACUUGUUUUCUCAUUCAUGUCUAUGUUGUUUACUUAAGGAUUCAUCUGAACGUCUAAGGUGCAGAUUCAUUCUAAACAGCUUAGAGCAGAGGCACACAGUCCCGUACAAUAUGGUUCGGCUGAUUGGAACAGUUGACAAGACUUGAGAAGAUAUGUGGAAGCAAAAAAGUGGUGAAGGCGGGGAAGACUGGAAAUAACGUCAAAGCUAAUAAUGCCAAGUCCGAGAUCUACUUCUGACAUCGCCUUGUAGCAGUUCUUUUAUCCAUACAUAAAUGGCAUAUAGCUGUGUAAUACAUUCCUUUUGUUCGGAUUCUUUAUGGUGAAAAUUUUCACACUGUUCAGAUUUAAGAAUUACGUUUGAAAGUUAGUUGUAUGCAAACAAGAGCAGCUGGGCACCUCGUUCCGGCCUUUGAGUAUUAUUAGAUAGAAAUGAGCGAUGAGUAAUAAUAGAAGAAUGGAGGCAGUUGAUUGAUUAUAAAAUCUUAGAAAAUUGGAAGAAAAGGUAAUGUUAAGUUAUUGAGAAAGAGAUGUAUAUAUUUAUGUAAACCUAAAGUGCAAGUUGAAGCCCAAAAAUUUGUGUGUUUGUGUCUCUGUCUAACACCUGCAGUAAGCAUAUUACAAUGGUGUUAUGUGUAUGUUACGAAACACAAAAGCAGACCGUUGAAGAGUGAAGCUGUUAAAUUAUAAUCAAUCAGGAUUUAGGUUUUUUGAA